CUACGGGAGGCAGCAGCGAGAUCUCUACAUGGGCGCAGCCGAUAGAGCAACGCCGCGUGGAGAUGACGCGUCGGGUUGUAAACUCCUUUCAGGGGGGAUGAUGAUGACCGUACCCCCAGAAGCAGCCCCGGCUAACUACGUGCCAGCAGCCGCGGUAAUACGUAGGAUGCAAGCGUUGUCCGGAUUUACUGGGCGUAAAGCGCGCGCAGGCGGCACUACAAGUAAGGUGUGAAAUCUCCCUUUCUCAACGGGGAGGGUGCACUUUAGACUGUAGAGCUAGAGGUCGGUAGAGGGGGGUGGAAUUGCUGUGUAGCGGUGAAAUGCGUAGAGAUCAGCAGGAACACCCGUGGCGAAGGCGGCCCCCUGGGCCGUACCUGACGCUGAGGCGCGAAGGCUAGGGGAGCGAACGGGAUUAGAUACCCCGGUAGUCCUAGCAGUAAACGAUGGCCACUAGGUGUGGGGGGUGUUGACCCCUUCCGUGCCGAAGCUAACGCAUUAAGUGGCCCGCCUGGGGAGUACGGUCGCAAGACUAAAACUCAAAGGAAUUGACGGGGACCCGCACAGGCAGCGGAGCGUGUGGUUUAAUUCGAUGCGACGCGAAGAACCUUACCAGGGCUUGACAUGUACUCGCAACCUCCUGAAAGGGAGGCCUCCUUCGGGACGGGUACACAGAUGCUGCAUGGCUGUCGUCAGCUCGUGUCGUGAGAUGUUGGGUUAAGUCCCGCAACGAGCGCAACCCCCGUCCCUAGUUGACUAUCUAGGGAGACUGCCGGAAACAAACCGGAGGAAGGUGGGGAUGACGUCAAGUCAGCAUGGCUCUUACGUCCUGGGCUACACACACGCUACAAUGGCAGUUACAGCGAGAAGCCAUCCCGCGAGGGAGAGCAGAUCUCUUAAAGGCUGCCUCAGUUCAGAUUGCACUCUGCAACCCGAGUGCAUGAAGUAGGAGUAGCUAGUAACCGCGUGUCAGCAUAGCGCGGUGAAUACGUUCCCGGG
rnacentral:rRNA from 1 species